GAUGAAGAACGUAGCAAAAUGCGAUAAGUAAUGUGAAUUGCAGAAUUCAGUGAAUCAUCGAAUCUUUGAACGCACAUUGCGCCCGCCAGUAUUCUGGCGGGCAUGCCUGUUCGAGCGUCAUUUCAACCCUCAAACACAGCUUGGUGUUGGGACUCGCGUUAAUUCGCGUUCCCCAAAUUGAUUGGCGGUCACGUCGAGCUUCCAUAGCGUAGUAGUAAAACCCUCGUUACUGGUAAUCGUCGCGGCCACGCCGUUAAACCCCAACUUCUGAAUGUUGACCUCGGAUCAGGUAGGAAUACCCGCUGAACUUAAGCAUAUCAAUAAGCGGAGGA
rnacentral:misc_RNA from 1 species